UACAGAGGUCUCAAGCGUUGUUCGGAAUUACUGGGCGUAAAGGGUGCGCAGGCCGCGCGGGCAGUCAAUUGUGUAAUUCAGGGGCUCAACCUCUGGACUGCGCUUGAUACUUCCGCGCUCGAACCUUGGAGAGGAGUCUGGAAUUCUCGGUGUAGCAGUGAAAUGCGUGGAUAUCGAGAAGAACACUUAGGGCGAAGGCAAGACUCUGGACAAGUGUUGACGCUCAUGCACGAAGGCUAGGGUAGCGAACGGG
rnacentral:rRNA from 1 species